ACGGCGUUGAAGCAGUCUAUGUCAGACUUCCAAGAAAAGCUCGGAAUAUCAAAAACAAGAAAUGCCUGUACCAUAACCGACACAGGUGGGUAGGUAGAGUAUACUAAGGGGCGCGAGAUAACUCUCUCUAAGGAACUCGGCAAAAUGACUCCGUAACUUCGGGAGAAGGAGUGCCUUCUUUUAGAAGGUUGCAAUAACAAGAUCCAAGCAACUGUUUACCAAAAACACAGGUCUCCGCUAAGUCGUAAGACGAUGUAUGGGGGCUGACGCCUGCCCAGUGCCAGAAGGUUAAAGAAGUUGGUUAGUUUCGGCGAAGCUGAUGACUGAAGCCCUGGUGAACGGCGGCCGUAACGAUAACGGUCCUAAGGUAGCGAAAUUCCUUGUCGGGUAAGUUCCGACCCGCACGAAAGGCGUAAUGAUUUGGAUACUGUCUCGGAGAGGGGCUCGGUGAAAUAGACUUGUCUGUGAAGAUGCGGACUACCUGCACCAGGACAGAAAGACCCUAUGAAGCUUUACUGUAACUUGAGAUUGAAAUUGGACUUUAUUUGCGCAGUAUAGGUGGGAGACGUUGAGAAUAUUCUUGCGGGAGUAUUGGAGUCAUCAGUGAGAUACCACUCUUGUAAUGUUAGAUUUCUAACUUUGUAUCAUUAUCUGGUCAAAGGACAGUUUCAGGCGGGCAGUUUGACUGGGGCGGUCGCCUCCCAAACGGUAACGGAGGCGCACAAAGGUUUCCUCUGAACGUGUAGAAAUCGUAUCUAGAGUGUAAAGGCAUAAGGAAGCUUGACUGUGAGACCUACAUGUCGAGCAGGGACGAAAGUCGGUCUUAGUGAUCUGACGGUGCUGAGUGGAAAGGCCGUCACUCAACGGAUAAAAGUUACUCUAGGAUAACAGGCUGAUCUCCCCCAAGAGUUCACAUCGACGGGGAGGUUUGGCACUUCGAUGUCGGCUCAUCGCAUCCUGGGGCGGUAGUACGUCCCAAGGGUUGGGCUGUUCGCCCAUGAAAGCGGUACGCGAGCUGGGUUCAGAACGUCGUGAGACAGUUCGGUCCAUAUCCGGUGUAGGCGUUAGAAUAUUGAGAGGAGCCUUCUUUAGUACGAGAGGACCGAGAAGGACAUACCUCUGGUGUACCAGUUAUCGUGCCAACGGUAAACGCUGGGUAGCUAUGUAUGGAGCGGAUAACCGCUGAAAGCAUCUAAGUGGGAAGCCCACCUCAAGAUAAGUAUUCUC
rnacentral:rRNA from 1 species